rnacentral:lncRNA from 1 species
UUCAGCCAAAGACCCACGACCUUCACUUCUUCCUCUUCCUUCCUCUUCCUUCCUCAAGCUCUGUUCUUCAGCUUCACCUCGCCUCUCUUAUGCCACCAAAGAUCCCCUCCUCACCUUGCCUCGCCUCGCAGUCGUAGUCACACCAUUAUGAGCAUCAGAUAUGGAAAUUGUUGAGUUAUUCUCAUCUUGUUUGUUUAUUUCAUUAUUUUGGGCGUUUUGAUGAAUUUUAGAUGAGGAAAUUGUUUGAGUUGUAUCUUAUUGGAUUCUCAAUUUCUCAUCCUUUAAUUUAUAAAUUUUAUUUUUUUAUUUUUUCUCAUUGGGUAAUUUUAUAUGAAUUAAUAAACUGAAGAAAGGCAGACUUUUGUCAAAAGUGCUGGUUUUUGAAUCUAACAAAUCCAUUUGAUUUAAUUUUUAUUUUUUAUAAAUUUAAUAUGUUUUGUUUUCUUUAGUUUUAAUUUCAUUUCUAUUUAUUUUUAGACUCUCAUUUACAGUUGAUUAUAUUUAAAAAUAUUAUUAUUUAAUUUUUAUAUUAUAAAAAAUUGAUUAAUUAAUUUUUUAAUUUUAAAAAUCAUAUUAAAACGUCUUAAUAUUUUAAAAAGAUUUUCAAAAAAAAUGAAGUCUAAGUGAUGAACGGAAAAUUUCAAAAGCUUUCAUAAGGAAUAGGGUCGAUAGUAAAGGCAACAGCAGGAAGAUGGGAAUUAUAAAGGGUUGAAUUAUUUAGGAUUUUGUAUUUUGUCGAUAUUAAUCAUUUAAAUUUUAUUUUAACUAAUUAAAACGUUCAAUAUCAUAUGAUAUACAAUUUUUUUAGUUUCGACUGAAGAAUGGAUUACAUUCAUAAUGUUUAAUCAUAGUACAUAAAUACAGUAUAUAUAAAGCAUUGGCAAUACACACACAGCAACAGGCAUGCUAAAUCAAUCCAUAAAUUAUCCAACUAAACAGAGAGUUGCUAUGUCUUCCAACUCACAAGAAUUGGAAGAACCUGCUACUGACUCCAGCCCUGUACAGAUGCAGCUCAGAUGCAGUUGUGAUGCCAAUUUCAAUGUUAGCAGGUGCAAACAGGACAUCUCCUUCAUUCACAACCUCUGUGG